ACCAGUCACUAUAGCCAACAACUCCCUUCCACAAUCCUCCUCUGCCAUCGGUGCGCAUCGCAGCCGAGGUAAAAUCCCUCAAGGUCUACCUCGAUUUCUCCAUCAUCUCGCUUUCUCGCUCUCACUCUCUCUAUUUUGUGGUUUGUUCGAAGAUGGGGCUAUGUAGGUAGGGGAAAGCGUUUGGGUAACUGAGGUGGUGGAGACGUUCUUCCCAGCAGAUACCGGAGCAAGGGUUGACAGAGGUGGUGCGACGCAGUGGUGACGUCCUUGGGUUUCAUGGUAGAGGCGAGAGCCAGAGGGUUUGGGUUGCAGUGAGGUGGAUUCUCUGACUUCCGAUCUGCUUCAUCAUGUUUCUUCAUCUAGGAUUACCUUAUUCGUUGUAGAUUCCAAUGCUUGUUAUUGUUCUUCUUCCAUUGAAGAGGAGAAAAUGUGGAUGAAGUGCCUCAAUUGGCUUGGAGUUAUUUCUGUUCUUCAUGAGGAUGUCAGGUUGGCUUUCACACAACAUGGACAUAAUCUUUUCUAUUGGGCAAAGUCAGAUUGGUGCAAUUUAACUCAUGGUAGUGGAUUUGAUUAAAUUCUGCUCUUGGAAAUGGAUCAAAUGCAAGAGAAAAGACUCCCACUGCUCAUUCUAUGAAUGGAUUAUGAAUCCCAAAAACUGCAUGGGGUUUAGACAAUUCUUAUUCAUUUUGCUCACUGAAGGGAUGUGACUUCAAUUCUGUGCAUUGAAUUCAGGUUUCCCAGUAUGUUGGAUUGCAGCAGCUUCUUCAAGAGUGCUUAUUGCUCUUAUUGUGAGUGUAUGGUUCGAGCAGGAAGUGGUUUUGAGCUGUCCUCUCUUGUCUACCAAAACUGUGUUCCCCCUUCCCUUGUUUUUCUUUCUGGCUUGCUGAGACAUUAUUUGGUCUCCUCGUGGGAUUUAGGCACAGCCUUGCUAGUGUGCUAAUUUUGUUCAUUUGGUCUGAGGUUGUUUUGCUUGGUUCCAUUUGGUUUGUUGGUGUUCUUGGGUACAACUUGUACCUAUUUAUAUAUUUUGAUUUGUAUAUAUAAUACUAUUUUGGCCUUCCAAAAAAAAACUAGUACCUGCUAGAAAGGAAGAAGAAGAGAAAAAAGAAUAAAAUUUGGCAGAGCUUGAUGA